AGACUUAACUAAACUAUGAUCCAUCAAGCAUUUCACUUUCAUCCUAAUUAAGAGAUUCUUCUUUCAACUAUUUCUCUUGUAUUACCCAAGUAUGAGCUAUGAAGGGGCUCAAAUCUAACUAUAACCCAUCAAAAUUUUCUACAAAGAAGAAGAAGAAAGAAUUUUAAUAGAUUUGUGAGCCUUCUACCUAUUAUCCCCUCUUGCAUCGAAUCAAGCAUGAACUAUGAAGGGAUUCCAACCCAACUAUAGCCCACCAAGUCUCUUGACAAGAAGGAUGA
rnacentral:lncRNA from 1 species